rnacentral:rRNA from 1 species
AGGUGCGAUCAUACCAGCACUAAUGAACCGGAUCCCAUCAGAACUCCGUAGUUAAGCGUGCUUGGGCGAGAGUAGUACUAGGAUUGGUAACCUGUUGGGAAGUCAUCGUGUUGCACCUCU